UUUUUUUUUUUUUUUUUAACAAGUCAUACAUCCACGGGCUUAUGAACCCAUGUCCUUUUUUACUCUAAUACAUGCAAAUUUUUAUUUUUAUUUUUUCUCUAUUUCAAGGUAGGCGUUAGUCAAUAACAUCGCUGUUCAAGUCACUAUGUUUGUUUUUAAUGUCUCCAAAAGAGACGUGAGUCCACCGACCGGUUCUUAAUCUAAUCUAUGGUACAAUUUUUUUUUUUUUUUUUUUUUUUUUUUUUUUUUUUUUUUUUUUUUUUUUUUUUUUUUUUUUUCUGAUAUAUUUAUAAACUAUUUUUAUU
rnacentral:misc_RNA from 1 species